AUGGUAUGUUAAGCGUUGCACUGUGCCAUCCUGAUGGGAAUGUUUUUGGUGGUGCUGUUGCAGGCGCAUUGAUAGCUGCUGAGCCUGUUCAAAUCAUUGCUACCAGUUUUCUGCAAGAAACCAGCAACAACACCAGCAAGGAAUUGAAAAGGAGGCACUCAGCGGAAUCUUCUACCGCAACUAGUAUGCUAGGCAAUUCAUCAUGCUUGGCAAUGGUUCCCUUACUAAUGCCUCCACCAACAAUAGUUCAUGAUGAGAGUUGCAUUUCGCCUACAUCUGCUCUCUUGGAAUUUCCAUCCCAUAGUGGAGCAGGUAACGUCAUUACUGCAAACCGUAACAUGAACCCUGCUACACUUCCGGGUUUUGAUCAGAAUGCCUUGCAGCCAAUGCCAGAUCCAACAUCUCCUCACAUUGACACCUUUAUUCCUUAGACAUAAAGGUCUAUGCAGAUUUGGUGACUAGAGUUGAAGUGUUUUAUCCAGUUUGCAAGGCCACAGUGCAAGAUUUCUACCAGUGACUGAGAUAACCGUAAAUGAGAUCUUCAACUUGUUAUUGUUGUAGUUUUGAUGUUGUAACUUAUUGUAGAUUUUGUGCUUUGCUUUUUAUUGAUAAUGUGGACUUGGAGUUGCAUGAAGAUACUGUUAGACUUUUGUGGUAGGAAACAGAAAGGUGCCAGAAACAAUGCACCAACAUGAGAUCAAAUCUCUGAAUCCAAUUUUUACCUUGAGAAUUUUCAA